CAACUUGAAUAGUUCAGACUUUUACUUUUAGGCUCUGUGAAUGAGAUGCACACCUGUUUCUGAUUUUCUAUUUUAUUUUUUAUCAGGUUUAGAAAAACAAUCAGACCCAUCUCUCAGAGAUUCCAGAUGGCCUUUAAUUUUUCCAUUCCUGAUGCUGAUGAUGGUUAUCAUUGCUAUUUUCCUGCGUAGUUUUCAGCAAAGGCAAUACACCUCUCCAGCAUUGGAAAAACGCUACUAACAUCUGAAGAAACACAAAGACAAAACAGUGAUUUUGAGUCAUGACCAUGCAAAGCAGAAACACUUCAGUUUAAUCACUGUUGUUUGAUGAUUAGCAGUAAACUAGGCCAGGCCAAGCUGCUUAGUCAGCUAAACCUAAACUACACUGGACCAAAGCUGAUGUCAUGUUUUAUUUGUCUUACUUUUAUCACAUUUUUGACCUCUGGGGGAUGCCAUAUUUUAGGGUUAUGAUACUGGAGGAUCUAAUCAAAGCAGACAUAAUAGAAAGAAUUGAUCUUUGAGUAUUAAUGGAAGCAGCCAGACUUUCUCAUUUAAACAGCAACUCAUUCCUAAUCUGAUCCUUUAAUUUCUGCCACAUUUGAGAUACAGAUCUUUUUACUGAUGUUAAAUUCAAGAAGAUGGAAGGAACGUUUUUUGUUUUUUUUU